rnacentral:lncRNA from 1 species
UUCUCGGUAGAAUACCUCGUGUGUGUUUCUACCUUCUGAGACUGAAUCAUGUGAUUAGAAGUUUGAAGAGCAGUGCUACUGACUGAUGUGCUCCUUCUUCCUCUUCUCUUGGAAGAGAGUACCCCAAGAAUCUCCAAGGUGUUUUGCUUUCGAUAAGUAAUUUGGCAGGCAAACAGCCUCUCCCAAAAAAUAUUAUAGGACAACUUUCAGAACCCUUCUCUGAAGGGAAUUUACAGCAUUAUUUUUUUAACUUUGCAUUGCAGGAAGGGAGAACGUGGAAGAGUCCUGAUCUCACCUAUCAUAGACCAGAAUACUUAAUGAUGAGAAAAUUGCCAGGAUAUCUCAGAUGAGUGGCCUGCUAACCCCAAGUAAAAACCCUUUCAGUGAAAUGAAAAGGUGAGACAAUUUAUUGUUCCUUCCUCUAACUGCUUUGAGCAAAAAGCUAAAGAUAAUUUUUAGGCAUUGGUGUUCACCGGAGGUGAGGGAUGCAGGGGAAAAGGGGAUUCCUGUCCUAGCGGUGUUUCAGUAAGUUAGGGUACUUUCAGGGCCCCAGCCUGGAUUUGCACCCUUGUGGUGAGCUAAUGCAGGAAUCCCUGCCAAGAUGGCACAUGAAGCUUUGGAGGCUCAAGGCUGAAAAGGUCACGCAGGAAUUUCAACAGCUGUAACUGGCUGUUUAUGUCUUCAACUAACUAAAGAGGGAGGGGGGGGCUGUAGAGAGGACAGAUCCAGACUCAGAAGUGCACAGUAAAAAAAUGAAAGGCAAUGAUCACAAUUUGCAGCAAGGAAAUUCUGACUAGAUAUAAGGAAAGACGAAUUCACUGUAAGAGUGGUUAAGCAAAGGAACUGGUGCCCAGAGAGGUGAUGGCAGCUCCAUCCAUGGAGAUGUUUAAAACUCACCUAGACUUGACACUGAGCAAGCAGUGAAAUGGGCAGUGCUUUGAGGGAGGGCUUGGAUCAGAUUAUUUAUUCUACGUUUCUAUGAAUUGUGGGGGUAGUUCAACAUUUGGGAGAUGAGAAGGACACUUUUCUAUGGCAGUUUCUGUACUUGGUAAGUAGUAUAUGCUUUUAUCUGUCCAAAAAUCUGGAAUGUUAAAAUGACAUUGAAGUGAUCGGGGGCCUAUGAGGGUAGCGGAGGCAAGGCAAUAAAUUCUUCCCUGUAAUAAGUGUUACUAAGGAG